UGUGCGCUUACAAAUUUGAUAUGAGGGCUCU
rnacentral:piRNA from 1 species